CACAUUCAGAGAAAAUGACACUUUCAGGGCAUUUAUACUCUGGAAUUUCAAGACAUGUGAGCUGUCUGCAUUGACUUAUCAGUGUGUGUGUGGGUUUUCAUGUAUAAAGAAGUUGCUCCUCACUAAAUGACAAAUUUGACUCCAAGCCAAGAAUUGCUGGAGUUUCUAAGCAAAAAGAAUAGUUCUGAAAAUGUAUAUUCCUUCCAAGCUUUCUCUAUUCUGAUCUCCUUUAAAAAAGAGAAGUUAGUGGUUUAUAAGAACCUUGAACAUUCUUCUAAGCAUUCUACCAGUCAUCUACAAUAGAAAAAAAUAAGUUACGGGGAAAAAAAUUCCAACAAUCUCAUAAUGCUUCCCACAGAGAGCAAUUAUCCAAGGAUUAGAUCUUAAAGAUCAAACUAGAGAACAAGAUACAAGAAAAACCUUCCCUAACAUGCUCAAGGACUAACCUCUUAUGAGUUCAAUGGAACACCUGGCAGCAUAAUUUACAGUUUUUCAGCAUAGAGCACUUUCUGUGUUGCCAGAAGCCUGCCGUUUCAGAGACAAGGCUUACAGGAGAAGGAAGCAACACCGGAGAUAAUGCUGAUGGAUUAGUGGAAUGAGAAACUUGUUCCAAAGGCAGCUUUGCUGCUGAUCCUGUUUGUCUCACUUGAAUGAAAAGAAGAUGGGAAAACAUUAUCCUUCAUCACAGCUGCUACAGGUGGGGAAAUAAUACACUAGGGGUGGGGGUUGUAAUAAACUGGUCCCUAAUCAAAUUUCACUAUAAUUCUCUUAUCAUUAUUGGUAUGCUCAGUUUCUGUUUCUUCAUUUUGCCUAAUCCAUCUUAUUUUUGUAUUUUCUCCUAGUUCAGCCCCAGGUCCUCUUUCUAAUUUGCAGCCUUUCUCUUUACUGUUUAAAUGGUAUAUCAAAUGCAAGACUGCAGGAAGAGUGAGGAGCCAAAAUGUGAGAGAACUACUACUCUCCCCAUGCCUGCAGCACACUGCCACUCCCCGGGUUGGUGACAGUGCCUACAGUACUUGCCUGUGACUCGUGAUUUCUUUUGCAAAGACACAAUAAGCAACACCCACUCAGAGCCAUCAGUAAGUUUAGCAAUGGCAGCAGCAAACAAUAUCUUUAUUUCUUACAUAUUAUUAUAGUUUUGGGGAAAAAAGGAAAACAAAACAACCCAAAACCCCAAACCACUACCUGACACAGCCUUAAUCAUUCAGUGUUGUGCUUUCAAGGACUAUUUAAAUUAAUUUUUCUUAUAAAUUCUCUAACAUAGCCUAUUGGGGGGAUAGGAAACAUUGUUAGAGUUGGAAACCAAUUUGAUUUUAAGCAACUACUGAGAAUUCACAGAUUUUAGGGAAUCAAAUUUAUUGUAACCUGCUAAUGGCAGAUUUAUGCAGAAUAAGAAAGAGUUAAUGUCACAACUCCUGCAUCUCUUCUAUGCCAAACCCUUUACUGUCUUCUCUAGCAUACAUUAAACAACUAUGAUUACCGGUUUGAAAACUUGUCUAGGUCUUUUGGUUUUCUAGCUAUAGGACAUAUAUGAAACUGUAUUGCAUAAAGACCAUGAACUCUCACUGACCAAACUAUUGUCUUUUAGAACUGGAGGAAGAUAUUUUCUUACUCUCUAUUGAAAUUUCAUAUGUGAAAGCUAAAGGUCUAGGUCACAGUUUUGUGAACACAUUGCUGUAUGCCCUUGAAAUCAGCACAGUAAGUAAAGAAGAACUUUAUCUUCAGGAGUAGCUCAGAUACAUGGGGCAAAGUUAACGUAUUUCCUGCUGCACCCAUCACUUCACUUUGUUUAAAGAGCCAGUUAAAGUACAACAAAAUUGACAAUUUUUAAGAAAUCAGAUUUUGAAUUAUUUUUUUGCUAUUUUCCUUUAACUUCUAAGCAACCUCUUGUAGAGAAGCAAAAUUGCAUGAUAAAGCACCUAAAAUAUAGCAUAGACAGCAUGCAUUGCUCCACUUGACUAUUUCUUUGAAAAUAAAAUCAAUUUUCUUUUCCAUUAAAAAAAGAUAAUAAUGAGAUACAUUUAUUCCCUGCACUGACUGAGAUACCAAAGGUUCCAGCUUAAUUUACUUGAUAAUAAAUUUUACCAGGGCCACAGUAUGUAUGCUCAAAAAGGAAAUUAACAUGUCACUUACUGAACAAGAUAAUAUUCAUUAGAUAUGUAUCUUUUGUAUUCUUCCCAUUUCUUGGCUUUUUGACCUUUAUUCUCAGCCCUUUUUACCAAGAGAGAAACAUAAAAACUUAUCUACAAACACACCUUUGUAGCUCUCAUUUCCCAUAUAAAUCAACAACUUAUAACAAGUGACAAGAGCCAGCAAUAUUUUCAUGAUCCAUGCCCUUAAUUAACACCAUUCCAGUGGCAUCCAUGCUAGAAUGGAUUUAUUCUUGUGUUUCUCUUCAUUGCAUCCAGUCACAAACCUAGGAUGUACAAAGUGUUGCAAUGCUUCCCCACAGCUUUCAUUUGGUCUUUCUGUGACACUCUCCAAAAAUCUCUUAUUAGCAUUUUGUGUUUGUUAUUGCUUGUAGCAGUAUCAUCCAAGAGAUAGAAGGAAGCUCUUAAAGUUGCAGUUUAGAAACAACUAAAUCCAUGGGGAGAAGAUUCCUGAAUUUGUUCUGUCAGCGUUCACAGUCUUGAAAUGUAGCUUUUCCACAACCCAGCCUGCUGCUGCUGCUGCUGCUUGUGCUCUCUGUGUAGAUAUUCCCCAUCCUGACACUGAAGUCAAAGGAUCAAGGAUGAGCAGUUCAGUGCCUGCAGUGCAGGGAGCCUCUUGUGGGCCAAAGCACUGGAUGCAAAACUAAAGACCACUGAGGCACUUCCAAGUGCAACUACCUCUAAAACAACAAUCUUCAAAUACUUUCCUAAAAAAAUCUUUUAAAAGGCUCAUUCGGUUUCAAAACUUUAUGGUUCUGUGACUGUUUUCAAGUAGAAAGUUGAUUAUUUUGGAUAAAAUUUGAAUGAUCUUCUUUGCAUUAAUGUCCAGAAAUAAUUAGCAAAAGCAUCCUUAGCAUGUGACCUCACCUGUGGAACAGUUUUGCUGGCCUGGUGAUUGCUGUUCUCAAUAGACAAAACAUUUUUUCUUAAGAGAGCCUUAGCUGCAGAGGUCAUGUGCUGAUCCACACAGAUGAGGGAACAGAAUUAUGUUCUUUCUUAUUCCCAAGGACCUCUGAAACAUUUUCAGACUAAACUAGCAAUUAAUUUGUUGAACUGAAAUUCAUUAAGUGCUCAAAUUGCAAACAUGCAGCUGAGUAUUAACAGUACAUGAAUCAUAUUUUUAUGUUUUAUGCAACGAACUAAAUUUCUAGUUGAACUCAGUAGGACGAGUCACACUGCCUAAGGGAGCAAUUUCUUAACUCAGGGGACUGAGUCAGAUUCCUUUACAACCAAUAUACCCCCAAGAGGGCAAAACACAGAAUGAAGUUGAGCUAAAAUGUUGAUUAAACUGAGAGUUCUGGAUUAUUUACUGGAGGAAUUAUUAUAUAUGUGAUGCACUGUCCUCCUAAUUCAGGUGUCUAAGUGAGAAGCCAAAAGCUGGUAUGACUGCACACAAAUUAUGCAGUCAGCUGGGAUAAAUACCUGUGCACAUAUAGGCAUGGCCUGGAAUGAGAUUUACACUAUCUCCUCCAAAUCUUCAAGAAGCAGCAAGAGUUCAAUGUAUGCUGCCGUGAUCAUGGCUUUCCCAGGUUCAGACCUUCUGUUAGGUCAAACCAGUUUCAGGAUACCCCGCCCUUCACAGAGAAAACACAUUUCCCUGGAUGGUUUGCACAGUGGCGCUGGGUGCCAUUUCUAAAAAAGGCAAGAGGAAGGGUUCAGAGACUUACAUAUCAGCCAGGCUCAUCUCAGACCUUGCAAAAAUCCUGCAGCCUGUCUAUUAGGGAUGCAUUGCCAAACAUGUGAAGACCAAAAUCUUUACAAUUGUAAUCAGCAUGGAUUUACCAGGGACAAAUGAUGCUCAACAAACCCAAGUGCCUCCUACAACAAAAUUGACAAGGUGAGGACUGUGGAUGUCAUAUACCUCAGCUUUAGGAAAGCUUUUGACUCUAUACCUCACCACAUUUUCAUCCGGCAGUUGAGGAAAUGCAGACGGGAAGAAAUGAUGCUUAGAUGGACUAAACAUUGGCUGUACCUCAGGGCUUACAAUGUGGCAAUGAAUAGCUCAGCAUCUGCUUGGUGGCCAGUAGCGAGCAGAGUACUCUAAGAACUGAACUCUUUCUCACUGUUUGAUGACUUCAUCAAUGACUUAGGUGAUGACCUAGGAUGUACCACAUGCAAAAUUUUUAUUGAUGCUAAAUUAGAGGGAGUGAAUUGCACAAUGAUGUCAUAACUUGAAUUCACAGGGACUUUGAUAAACUUGAUAACUGGCACAACAGAAACUUUGUGAUGUCCAACAAGGAGAAAAGCAAACUUCUGCUCUUGGGACAGUGUAAGCUCAUAUGUGACUAAAGAAUUAGUAGUAGUCCUGCUGAAGAGUAAUGGUGGACUCUAGCUGAAAUAUUCUCUCACUGUGACUAAGGUAAACUGAAGAUCAGGCUGUGUUGAGAGGAGGUGCCCCAAAGAUAUGGAGAACUUGGUUUUCCCAUCUGCCUGGAACUCAGGAAGCUGCAUAUGAAAAAGUGAAUCAAGUUUUGGAUCACCUACUGGGCCACAAGGAAACAUUGAGAGAUCCUUAGACUGCUGAAGAGUCUUAGGCUUGGUCUAGUAGAGGUAAUAAUUACUUCAAGGGCAGUAAAAAAAAAGAACCUGAGGGAAAACUUUUAACUAAGGGGAAAACCUUUGCAGUGCAGCCCUGUGUCAAGUUGUGCAGGUAAACUCUGAAAUCUCCAUCUCUGGAGGUUUUCAAGAUGCAGUUACACACAGUCACAGCUGACCUGACCUGGUGUUGGCAACAGUCCUGCCUUUUUGGGGGAGAAGUUGAACUAAAUGACCUCCAAAGGCCUUUGUGAAAUUCUUCCAUGAUAAACAGUUUUAUGUCUACCCUCAAUUAUUCUACACUGCUUAGGGAUUUCUGCAUCUACACCAGAAAUCCUGGCUGCUCCACAGGAUUUGAAGAGCAAUAGCUUGGAAAAUACCUUUUUCAUGGUUAUCUAGAAAUCCUUAGCUCUGUCUCCUUUGCAUGCAGAACGACCUGAUACCAAGACCUGAUUCCUGGGGUGAAAGCUUUAUAAACUGUAGCUGUCCAUACAAAUUUGUAUGCAAAUUAAGAUUACACAGACAACCUAACAACUGGAACAUCCUAUAUUUCGGAAGUUUGGCCUUUCAAUUGAAGUGUGGUGUACCUUUUCAUAGUAAACUCAGCAUACUAUCAGGAGUGUUUGGACUGCAGACAUCCAGAACAGACAUCUUUCAGCAUACUUGUUCAUAAGCGUCUGAUAAAGUAGAAGUCUGUUGCUUCAAGGGACGGUGCAGAAGAAUCAAGUCCAAUAAACAGUCAUUUUGGGCUUUUCCCUCACUUAACAGCCAUAUACAGAGAAGAAGCAAGGCAUGUGGAAACUCCUCAUGAUGACUUUCAUCAUCAUCUCACCGCAGCAGGGAGGCUGGUCCCAACUGAAAUUCCAGAGAGCUUUGUAUAUUUUUCUCCACCUAGCAGAUAUGAGGGAAUCUGAGGGGUAACCCAGAGGAAAUGAGGCAGUGGCACUACUGAUUUAUUUUGAAUCCAGAGAGAUAGUGGGACACAGUAGGUCAUGCAACUGGUGCUAGAGAUGCUAAUCAAGUUAGUGAGCAAACCUCUGUAGAACAUUUCUAGACAGUCAUUAAUUUUAACACACUGCAGAAUCUUCCCAGUCAACACAGAUUACUGAAGGCAAUUAGUUAUUAUAAAUAAUUCUCACAUCAGUCAAAACUGAAUGCAAUUUUACUGUUAAAGAAUAAAAUAUAUCCCUACCUAAGGAUUUCUUCCUUUAAAGUUCUAAAAGCCCCAGGGAAGGAAAAAAUCCUCAAAUAAACAAGCCCAAAAAUUCCUUUCCUGAUUCAUGUUGUAAACUGAUAAAUGAAAACAACAUAUGUGAGAGAAAAAUGCAUUACUCUUACACAGUUUUAUUUUUAAGACAAGAAUUUGCAGAUUUUUUAUUAGAUGCAGUAUUCCCUUUUUGUGUUAAUGCCAGAAAAAUCACAGAAUUUGGCACAAAACUAACAUAAAUAUAGUCAAAGAGAAAAUAUGUUUUAAUCAUUGUGCCACCUUGAAAGCUGUAUUUCUAAGCUACCUCAAGAAGAUCUAUUUACAGAUAUUUUUGCUUUUCUUUCACUUGCCUUCACCCAUUCUGCUUGAUUAUUCCUGCUCUUUGGAUGCACACCAAAGAAGUAGGAAAUUACCUACCUCGUGUUGGUGGGUGUUCACCCAAGGCCUAUGCAACUCAUUUCAUACAAUGUCUCUUAGUGUUGCAGAGACCAUCUUGAAGUACCUAUUCAGGCUGCAAGCGAAAGCACAAAAACAGUUAGAGGAAAAAUAGCACCUAUAAUUUAACUAGAGAUUCUGUCAGGCUACGUGUGCAAGCAGUAAAGGCAACAGGGAAAGGUGAGGGGUUUGAAAGGCCACAGGUAUUAGCCCAGUGUCCCUGUCUCUUACACUCUUUCUUCUCCCAGGCCUGUGAUGGACUGAAAUGUUUGUUAUGUCUUAAAUAUUGUCAAAGUCAUAGAAAGACUUUUUGUCAAACUACAAGGAAGCGACUGCCUGUCUUUGACAACUAAAACCUGACUGGAAUUUGGACUGUGAGUGAGAACUUGAGAUGAGACUAUUGUCUAAUCAUCUCAAAUCUGAGGAGAAGUAAACAAAGCUCAGGAAAGAAGAAUAUAUCUAUAUUAAGAAUCAACCCUAGCUGGGCUCAGGGAGUGGUGGAGGAGAAGGGGUUUGGGUGUGCGAUGGUGAAAUCUCUCCACACCAAACUGAAGGAGUAAACCCCUACCCCCUGCUCUGGGAAGUGACGCAUGCACGGGACAUUCAUGCGAGAGGCAGCUAAGAAAGGGUCAUAAACCAUCAAAGACCCCCAAACCACUCCCCCCAACUCAUUCCUGAGGCCUUUUACUGCUAAAGGACUGCACGUGAUCCAAGUGAGGCAACAAAUCCAGAGCUGUCGAAAGAGACUGAAAAGCUUCACCCACCCCCAGGGUAGGUGCCUGGCAUCUCCUGAAUGUAUAUUAAUCCGUUGGACUCUAUGUUUUGCAGGACCCUCACCACCAAGAAGACCAGAAGAACUGGACUGACGGGAUGCCAUUGGGUUCCACAACGGUGAUACAUUUUCUAUUUUAAUAUCUCUGUCUGUCACUUUCUUCUUCCUCCUGUUCCUUUUCCUAUUUCUUUCUAUCUCUUUCUCCAUCUCACAUUUACCAAUAAAUAAACCCCAUACUAUUGACUUUGGUGUCUAGUUUUAUUUGCACUUUUAUUCAGGCAGAGGCAUUUCUAAUAAUUUUAAUAAGUGGAUCCUAACAAGGCCUCAUGUCUCCAUGUCUGCCUCUACACUGCUGAUCACAUCUGUUCUCUCCCCCAGCCCACCUUCUUUGUUAGUCUCUUUGCCUGUGUCAUGUAGCAGAGAACAUCUGUCUAAAGUAUUGAUAUCUGUAGAUGAAGUCACCUGCAACUGGCUGUUACCAGCUUGGAGUUUUGGAUUAUGGCUCAUCUAAAGCCACUUUUCUAGUUUCCCUGGUUUGGGCUCACCCUGUGGGCUAUGGGUGCAGAGCUGUGCAGGAUGGUAGCUGCACUCCUCAUCAUCAGCUGAGACAUGGGCAGAGGAACAGACACCUGUCCAUCUCUUGCUCUGUCUGUUCUUCCAUAUGCCCUUGACACUUCCUCAGAUCUCAGUUUACCCCACUUCCUGCUUCCCCAAUGUCAUGCUUUAUCUGAUGAACAGGUAAAGAGGUUUAUUCCCUGUACACUGUGGUUCCCUUUAUCUACCCUAAGGACCUUGAAGGCCCCAGACCACCCUUAAAAUAUUUUUUGGCUGGGGAAGGUACAGGACUUGUCUCAUAUCCUCCAUGGUUUUAAGUCCUAACCCAAAUCCUCAAAGAUACUGGAAGAUGACAAGCAGAAGCAUGGCUGGGAUAACAGCUUCAUGAGGGCUGAUAUCACAGUGUAACUGCUGCCAGUUAUUUAUACAUGUUCAAUCCAUACUGUUUGAGAACUAGUUUGAACUUUAAAAUUCACAUCCUUCAAAACAUUUGGCUUAAAUAGAUAUUUCAUUUCCCCAAGUAAUAGGCAAGCUGAGGCUUGAUUGUUAUGUCCUGCUCUCUUCAGUAAAUCCUGCAGCAUGAAUUAUGAAUCGUCACUCUCUUUUCUUCUGAACAAAGCUGUUGCAAUGUCAUUUAUAGAGAGGGGAUCUGAAUAGAACUAUGGCUAAUAGAUUAUAUGUUCUCAGCUCCCCACACAAUUUUGUCAUACUCCUCAGGGAUGAAAUUUCCACUUUUUGAUGCCUUUCAGAAGAACUGGGUUUUCUUUUGCUGCAAAAAUUACAAGCCUAAUUUCACUGUUAGUCACUAUAACCAUGAACUUUCUAUAUACAACCAUAUUGUCCUGCACCAGCAUCCUCCUCUAACUCAUUUUCCAAAUUGUCAUUGUACCAGUCAGAAUGGUUGAAAUCUUAAUUUGGUGCUUUCUAAGGAAAACAUAUACAGGGACGUAAUGAACGUAUAGUCCUUUCCAAGCCUGUAUUUUUUAAACUUGUUUACAGCUGGCCUGUGUAGAGCUCAAACCGUUCUGCUGGGCAAUGUUCUAGCUCUCCUCUACAAUUUCCAUUAACAGCUGGAUGCUCUGCCCUUUCCUACCUUGCAAAUGCAAAAGCUUAGGAAAAUCUGUCAGGUUCUUUGACAUGCAGCUAGGAUUUUUUAAUUCUUCAUCACAGUUUAAAAGUCUCUACUGAGGAAUGAAUUUUCUGAUCAUUUAAACUCAAGCAAGUCAAGGAGUCCAUUAUAUUAAUGGCAUCUUUCACUGCUUUAAAAUUCCAAAGGGACAAUAUAUGACACCGGUUAAGAAUAACGGAGCAAGAAUAAGCCUAAUAGCCAAGGCAGUGAAUGACAUACAUGAUGUCCAGAGCCCAAUUUCAAUCCUUGAGCGAUGUAACUUCCUAUGUCUGGAAGUACUGCCACAAUGGCAAAUUCAUUGUCUUAGAAGUGAAGACUUUUUCUUGUCCAUAACUGACAGUGUCUGCCCAACAAAAGAAAUUACAGAAUCUGGGGGUAUCUACUUAUGAUUAUUUUGUCACAGUUGUGCCUCUGCAGAGUUUUGCUUAAAUUCUCCAGGCACCAGAAAGAAAUGAUUUGGAGGAAUUCCUAAGGAGAAAAAUGUCAGGGGACAUUAUUAGGAGACCUCUGCUCUCUCUAAACAAAUGCACUUGACAGCAGUGAUUAUGUCUUUCAGUAAGGUAAGAUACAUCUGUCAGAGACCAAACUGCGCUCUUAAUGGCUGUAAUAAAUCAGUGAAUACCAUCUGAAAUGAUUCAUAGAAACUGUAAUAAUUUAAAUUUUAUCUAAAUUGUGUAAACAUUUAGUAGUAGCAAAAAAAUCUCAAACUUAAAUUUGAAAAUAUAUACAGAAAAGUCCCUAAAGUAUCAGUGAUUUUCCACUGCACUAGAAACUGUGAGGAAUCUGUCUAUGCAAUCUUAAUUAAUUUUUUUUUUGAUUUUAUGAACCCUAUUUAUUACUAUGACCUCUGGUUUGCUUUAAAACUUUCUUUUUAUGAUAGAAAAAGGCAGUAUCUUUGAAUCUGAAACAGGAACCUCAAAGGCUGUCAUCAAAGAGACAUGCUCUUCAAGAAGAACAAAAAGAGACGAAUCAUCAGAUGGCUGAGCUGAACAAGUGAAAGACUGGAAAGGCAUGUUCUCUCUAACGAUGCUGAAAGGUAUCUCAGCAAUGAUGAUGAUACAAGAGGGAGGAAUUUGCUGUCAGAUAUUGUUUUCUGUACACAUCUGUAAAUUUCCUCAGUUGUCUGCAAGUAAAACUACUGCAAAUUUAAGAAGGGUGUUAGCAAAGCAGACUAGUUUACACCUUUUAUUCAGUCAAAGAAUUAAAUAAGGACCCCACUUCAAUAACUUCCGUAACUUCAGUAGUGCAUGCAAGGGAUUUGAAAUCAUCCUGCAGUAGUGUCAGGUCCAGCACUCAUAUUGAGAAUCUGAGAAGUGGUCUGUAGCCUUCCAGAAAGGGUUCACUGGAAAGCAACAUCAUUUUUCCCAUUGAAGUUGUGCCUUGUGUGCCAAAACUGGGUGUGUUAUCUAUGCCAAUGCUCUUAUCAUAUGGCAUUCACAAUGUCCCAGUUGUCCCUUGGCAAAACAAAAUCAUAUUCCAUAUCCAGACAUUCUGAUUUCAGAGUUCUGUUUCCUGUCAAAACAAGAAAACAAGAAAACUAUGCUUUGCUUUCUAGCAAAACUUAAAGCAUUUCAUAUGCCAGCAGAUGACUAUCACUUUCAGUCUUUACUGGACUGGGCUCAGUUAUGACCAACAAUACAGUUCAGAAAGGCUCCAAAAUCUUGAACCCAUUCCAACUGAUCUCCCCCUCCUUUGAUCUAUAUUUUUAAAAUUUUUUCUAAUAUCUAUAGAUUUACUUCUCUCCCCCUGGAUAGCUGCCCAGAUUUAAUAUAAGCCAUUCAUUGCAGUAUAAAAAAAAUGCCCAAAUCUGAUAAAAUCUGACAGAAACAGUCACUCUUGAUUCUGUCAUUUCCUAAAAUCUGAGUUCAUAUCUUAGCUGUCUUGCCAAGUUUUUAGCAAAGCUUUACUUAUGAAAGUUUGAGAGGGAGAAAAAAAACUUAAACGGAUAAAUUUCUACUGAGCUGUAUUAAGAUUUACCAUUUCAGGAAGUUUAGUUAUACAGAUGUUUAUCUCCCUAGUUCUUGAAUCUUGCCUACCUCUUUGCUUCCUUUCUCUCCACUGCCUACCUCUGUCAUUGUGCCUAAAGAUGCCUCUAUUGCCACUGAACAGAAGCUUGCUUAUUUUUCAUUCCUUAGUUCCUCCUCCUUUCAAGUAACUCCCUGCUCUCAUUUUCUUUCCUUUAGAUCUGUCUCAAAUUAAAUGUUCCCAAUUCUGGCUCUCACCAUUUUCCUCAGCUCUGUCUUCUUCUCUGUACAUCUCCUACCUCCAGUUCCUUACCCCUCUAAGUUUUGGUCCAACUUCUUCCCGUUGAUGAGAAAAAAGAUGUUUUCUAGAAUAGUUUAGAGCUUUCCAGGGGACAACAGAUGAAAGGUGUUCCUUGGACAAGGAGAUAGAUUGUCAAGCCCAGGCCAUUGGUGGAACAGUUCAGGAGCAUGUGAGAAUUUUGUUACCAAAUGUAUAAGUUAUUACUUAUAGGACAUAUACAUGUGGAGUUUGGGCCAGCAGUAGUUGAUUUUUACAAAAAAUAGCAAGAUACUCUACCAUCCAAAACAACAGUUGGUGAGGGAGCAGCAGUGGUGACAGAGGUAAGUCCAGGGGUGAGGAUUAAAUGAGUCUGUACAGGGGAGUUCCUGAGCUCAGGAAUACCCAAACAGCAGCUCCUGAGCUUUGUUAGGACCUGGAAGCCCUCAGCAGUCAACAGGGUGAUGAGGAAGUGGUGCUGGGAGCAUCCAAGGGAGAUUUAAACAGCUCUAGAGAGUGUGAACGACCCAGAGCAUGGUGAACAGGAGUGGGCAAAUAGGGACGUGGCACAACAGUAAGGUUGUGGUACAGCAGUUCACACAGCAGUUCACACAAGCUGGGUGAGCAGAAAGGGGUCCUCUCUGACCAUCUGAGAGCAGCCAAAAGAGGCAGCAAACAGACUCAGUAGCUGGUAAGAAAGAGCAUGAAGUGAUCCUUUCAGCCUGACAGAGUUCAAAGAGUGUUUGGACAGAGCUCUCAGUCACAUGGCGUGAGUCUGGGAUGGUCCUGUGCAGGGCCAGGAGUUGGACUUGAUGAUCCUUGUGGGUCCCUUCCAACUCAGCAUAUUCUGUGAACCUGUAAUGUAAUACCCUCUUAAGCUACAAUUUUUGCUUCUAAUGCUCAGAAGCAACACAGAGUUUUUCAGUCAAACAGCUUAUCUUUUCAUAUGGGAAAAUAUUCUUUUAUUAACAAUCUCAAUUCUGGAAACACCUUAAACUUUCAAAAACAAAUAGAUGAUGCACCUGAGCAGAAGAAAUCACUGUUCUGAACCACUCAAGUUGUUAAAUGUUAAAGGAAGGAUCUCACAACAGUGUGUACCAGGUCUUCUUAGUCCUAUAGGUGCAUCUCUUGCCAUAGCAAUGAUUGGCCAGUAUAGUAGGGAGUUGAAUAUAAUCCUUGUAAAUUUAGUACAAUAUUUCAUAUGUGUUUCCUCAAAGCACAAGCUCUAGGUGGUUGUAGGCUGUACAUCUCACCACUUUGUGUUCUCAUCAUGUCAAAUCCUUCAAGUGAAGUGACAUUACACUGCACUAAACAGUGCUGGUGAUUCACUAGACUGCAGUCCUCCUUUUAAGUCUGUACGAGCCAACAGUCUGACAGGGGUUUAUUAAAGAGCACCCUGAUGAUGCAGGUCUAAUCCUUUGAUGGGACCUACUGUUGGGACGUGACCCCUUUUCGAUCAUAUAACACUCCAUAGCAAUUUUUCUGAAAGCCGCAGUUUGCCUCUUAACCUGGAUAUCUUGGAUAAAUUCCAGCUCAGGAACGAAAUGCUGAAAACUCAAAUCCCUGGAUAGUUUCAGUGAUAGAAACCAAGUUACUGCUUAAACUAUUUAUUAUUGACAAAGACUUUAAGCAGUGGUGGUCCUCUACACCAGAGGUAAUCACCUCUGGUGAUUCCAUCCUUUGCUGAGUACUAACUACACAGCUGUUCUCUGCAUCAGGAGUGCUAUGAAAAAUGAUUAUUUCAGUCAUUGUGCAGACUUUUAUGCAAGAGCUGCCAUGUAAGUGUUGCUUUUCAUGUUAUUAUUACUUUUUUUUUUAAAUAGUCUUCAUCUAGCUUACAAAAGUUUAAAAAUGCAGUUCAGAGGCACCUAGAAAGCAAUUCUUUCCACAGGCUUGAAAAACAGGGUGUUAAAAUAUUUUAAUUUAAAAACCUGGCAUAUAAAUUCAUAAACACUUGACUAGCUAGAAAGCAGAACUGAAAGAAGGUUGUUACAUUCCCAAUUUUGUAUGAAAUAUACACUAACUAUAAAUCAUACUUAGAAAAUGGAGUUGUGAAACAUCUUCUGGGGAAAAAAAAAAACCACAAACCCCAGAGUUUUCUAGAAUCUUUAAAGGACACCAAUCUUCCAGACUGAGAAUGAGCCAUCUAUAAUCACACAUCGCAUCUAAGCAGUUCUCUGUCAGGUGUAAAAGUUUAAUUUCCUGCAGAAUUUUUAAUUCUGCCAGAUAAUGUGGGGGGAAAAGGAAAGUUGUUUUGAGCCAUAAGAAUUUUUUUUCCAUCCUCCCUUCCCUUUCCCUUCUCUAAAACUGUCAUUCGCGGGCCUCAAAUUUUGAUCUGUUACAGUGUCAAACAAUGAGAAGCAACUAACAUUUCCAGCAAUCGCAUUUUUACAGUAUUUUUACUUUUCCUCCACUGAAAUUCUAACAGAAUUUGUUUUUUUUUUUCCGUUACCCUAAAAAGCAAUGGAACAAGUCAUCUGUCAGGGAUCCAGUGUAAGCCAUAUGCCUGCUAGGGCUUCUGGCCAUUUUAAAUCUCUGAAACAGAGCGCAGGGAACAACUGCAAACAAGUGGGUGACUGCGGAAAUGGGACACUUCCUCAGCUGUUAGAAAGGCAUAGUGGAAACGUAAGUUUGGAGGGACUCUGGUUAAACCUUACCACAACAACCAACUUCGGAAAAGGAAGGAAAGGUGAGUUCUCUUCCUUCCUCAUACUGAAGUAAAAUGCAUUUGUUAAUAAGUGUUACGUACCUCUUAGAAGUUUUGCAUCUUUUACUGAAGAACAAUAACCUCUCUUAAAAAAAAUGAAUAAAAUCAGGCAUUUGUGCUACUAAUAAAGCUUCCUUUGAUCCUGAAAAGAUUUAGAAUUUUCUCAAUUGUCAGAAAUGAUUGACUGAAGAGUUGGUCUUUCCACCACUCAGACCUUGAUCAUGACUGGAGUUUUCCAUAUCCCCUGUCUGAACAUCAAGGGGUCAGACUGUAUCUGCUGGGACAGCCCUGAAGAAUGAAUAUUUUCCGUGUAACAACCUUUUCAGUAACUUCAAUUUUGAUCUGCAAAAAGCUCCAUAUUCUUUGCCCUUAAUGUAAGUUUUAUAGCUGCAGAAGUGAUGGCUGGAAUCUGGAUCUCUCUCUCACAAUGCACAAAUGAAGAAACACUCAGCAACCCUUACGGAUUUAAAUAAUUUCUAAGUACUCUUAAGGCAUCCACCUUCCCUCUACGUACCUGAACAGGUAUCUCUCAGAACAUUAGGGUGUAUAAUCCUCUGGCAAGUGCUAAGUAGGCUGCUAUUUUUCCAAGUAGAAAGGGCUAUUCUUUUCCCUCCCCCACAUUGCCCUCCUAGAAAUGUGGUUUUCAUACAAGUAAAAUGGAGACUCUAUUUCAAGUCUCUAUAAAAGCACACACAGAGAAUGAAAAAAAAAAUCAAUAUGAGCCCCUUGGUAGCUGAAAUUAGGUGUUUCAUAAUGCUGUGCCAAUCUCACCGAGCAUCAUGUACCUUUCCUUCAGUGCCUUUUCACUUCUUUUUGUCCCUCUACCUGGGGGAAUAAAAUACAGUCUCAGGGUGGGGGUUUUUGUUGGUUUUUUGUUUGUUUGGUUGGGUUGGUUUGUUUUGUUUUGGUUUUUUUUUUGUUGUCAACUCUUCAUAUGUUUUAGGAUUUUUUACUAAUUAUCAAAAAAAGUUCACAUCCCAGAUCAGGGGUUGAUGUCCCUUAUUAAUGAAAUGCUCCCAUGCCAGGUGUUCCAAGUUCAAUUAAGUUGCCAGGGAAUAUGUUUUGGUUAUAUCUUAAACAAACUAAAUCAGUAGCAGGGCAGCUUCUGCUGGACAAGGCAGGGGAAGUGGUUAAAACCGGGCAGUCUCUCCACUCCAUUAUUAAUAUGCAGAAAAAGUCUUUUCUGAAUGAAGAAAAAAUUAACUCUUUUAUGUACAGAAACACCUGAUCAUUGCCCUAACUUUCUUUCUGUUUUCUCUUUCUUAAAGAUGAGAAUAUGACCAGAUUCAGUAAAGAAGGAUGUAGCACUUCUAAUUACUAGAGCUAACAAAGAAAACCUAUAUAGAAGUUGAUUCUAGCUUCUUAGCAUUUUUAUUUAUUAAACUCAGCACACUGAACUGUUUAGUAACAUCUAAGUGUAUUAACUGAUGUUACCAACAGCAAUACAAGCUAAAUUUCAGUCCCUGUAUUUCAAUCAAUUAGUGGGCGACACUGUUCUGAACUGCAGGCAAGACAACAGGUGCACUCCCUGCACAGCCUGUAUCCCUGCCAAAGGUUACAAAAUGUUGAAUUCUGCAUCUAUGACCUUUAUAUAAUGAAGAAGGUCAUUUUAAUGCUAGGACAUCUGCACUAAGCCAUAUGGUGAGGUAGAAAUGGUGUGAUCACCACUCAAAAUGUGUUGCAGAGAUAUUAUCCUGGUGCCACAUGCCCUCUGGUAUCUUCAGGCAGAGUCUUAUUUAUCACACAGUAAAAACAUAAUCAUUUGAAGAAAAAUGAUCUAGAGAACUUAAAAAAAUAUUAAGUACUUAAACAGGAAAAUUCACUGCUGGAUCCGAAGAUCAUCUCAUGGACAUUGCUUUUACAUGCCCUCGCCUUUGGCUUGGGAUGCACACUGCAUUUGCAGUAAUCCAUCAUAGGACCAGUGAAGCUAGAAGCUCUCACAAAUAAUGAAUUAAUGAGCCUAAUUAGAAAACUGUGGGUUAUUUCUGCUUCUGUUUAUAUGGCAUCAUGGUUUAAGCUGAUAAUAUGGCCCAGUUGCCAGUCAACUGGAUGAGAAGACCCCAAAUGGUGAGCACCCAGAAGAGGAAACUUCCUUCAAAUGGUUGUUGUCCUGCACACUGACCACUGUACAAAUGUGGAAGGAACUGCCCCAGGUUUUAAAUUUGUCCAUAAAUAUCCCUCUCUCUGCAUACAACUUAGUGAUGCAAUGUAAGAAGCCCCUCUACAUGGAUGGAGUUAUUUUUCAGGUGAAAUGAGUAUUGGAAAAGGUACUCAAAUCCCAAAUAAAUAGUGCUUGUGUAAGAAUACAGCACAAAAUAACCAGUCAGCUUGUUCUCAAAAGCUGCCCUACUAUUGUUAAUCGUAUUAAGAUUAGAAUCAGGAUGUGCUGAACACAAGUGAAACACCUGUGACAAAUGCUCUGAAAAUAACUCGGCAGUACAGAACUCUUACUGUGUCACAAAUUACUUGAUUAAAGCUGGAAAAGCCAAGGUUGUUUUUUUUCUUUAUCAAAGUCAUGACAAUUUUUCUUCCAGCAAACAAUGCUUUAAUGUUGGGUUUUAAUGGGAUUCUUAUAACUCAGAUGCAGAAUAUAGCAUUUUAGUGAUUGUCUUGGUUUUUUUUCUAACAUUGUUAUUCCAUUGUUACACUUGAAAAGCUUGAUGAAUGGAAAAAAGAAAAAAAAAGUAUUUCACAGAAACAAAGAAAGCUCACUUGCCAGAAGAUUCUUUGAUUUUGGGAAAAGUUGCCCUUCCUUGUGAUAAAAAAGACAACUUUGGAUUGAUCUGCAAAGUUUCUUCAGAUUAAGAGAUUGACAGCUUUGUCUCAGUAAAGUAAUUUAAAAUCAACUCUGAAAUGAGCCAGCAAAACUACCACACCUUUGUUUGAAAGAAUCAGAUAUAAUGGUGGAGAUUACAAAACAAGGACACAUGGUUAUGAAGGGUGGCUUUCCUUUUCCCAAAAAGCUAAUAGCCUGGAAGAAAAUUAAUAAUAAAGAGAAAUUUGGGCUUGAUAAACAAAAAUUCUUCUUUCAGCAUUAUAAUGGAAGACCACAAAUUCUUUAGAGGAAUAACUGAGAAACAAGAGUAAUCAACUACCAAAAUUUCUAGUCUAUUAAUAAGAUUCCCACUGUGCUCUCCAAAAGUUUAUCUCUUAACUAGGAACAGGGUUUUGUCCUAAGAAAUUGCAUGUCUGAGAAUAAUAACUGUAUCUGCAGUCUUUCUGCUUGUGUUGUCUUCCCUUACAGUGGAGACAUGAGUACAGUGUCAACCUAUGCACUCCCCAGGCAGGCAGGUUUCAAAAUCUGGUUUUAACAGUUCCACCUGAGCCUACAAAAACCCUCCACUCCCCAUGGCUACAUUUUCAACUGAAAAAUCAAUCUAGAAUGUUCUGCAGCUACAGUGUGAGCCCAGCAGACACAGAACGAAAAUGGGGAAGGUUAUUACUUCCACCAGCUCCUUCGUUUGCAGAGUGCUUUUUCUCAGUAAACACUAAUAAUCUCCUAGCAGCACAUGUAGACUUUUGGACAAUAAGAGUGUACUACGGGGAAUCUGCACUAUGAUAUUUCUCCUUAACUCUAAGAGAAGUCUCUCCGCACACUGGUUUAACUACAGGAUUGUAUUUUCAGCAUCUGUGCAGUUAGUCUCCAGUGAAAUAUUGUGUUUGAGACACUCACUAAUUUAUUUCUGCUCUUGCCAACUGAUCUACCCUGCAUAUUAAUAUUAACAAUCAUGUUUGUACAAAUGGGUCCAUUAAUUCUAACUUCAUUUUCUUUUCAAUUGGUAAUAUAUGUAAAGAACAAUAACCAAUGCGGCAUAAUUUUACCCACGGCUAUUAUAAGCGGGUACACAAUAUCACAUUUAUUUCCUUCUUAAAAGCGUUGCUUUUAAAUGAGCAAAGGAUAUUAGAAGAGCGUUAGCUUUCAUCCUUCCCUCAAUGCAUCUCAGAGAUGUGGGAGCAUUGGGGAAGGAGAAGCCAUUUAAAACCAAAAUGGAGUUUGACAUUAUUUGAAAGCCUGAGAGUUAGAUUUCUCCAAGGGGAAUGUUUCCUUUCACUUUGCUAGGAUUUGGUAUAGGCCCAUAAUGACCAUUAACAAAGAUACCCCAGCAGACACAGAAAAUGUUCUGGAAAUCAUGCUUUUACUUUGCCACAAUAAGCUGUAUUUAAUGGAGUCAUUAUGGUAAAAGGAAGAAACAUGUUACAAAACAUGACAGAAAACAUACAGCGAAUUUCAACACCAGGAAAACCUGAAUUCUCGGUCCAAAUCUCCCAUGUCAAGAAAAAUUAGUAAACAUUCUUUCAUAAGUUAAAUUAAGAUUAUUUUUCAGAUUAGGAACACAGAAAUAGUUGCAAUCAUAUUUCAGUGUUAGGUAGUACAGCAAGGAAGGCAAUCAAGAGAGGUAAAGCUGCCUUCAGGAAACUCAAAAAGUAACAAGGAAACAGAACCGAAUUGUACUACCUUUGGAUUUUUUAACUGGCGAGAUCCUGAAUAGUGAGGAAAAAGACAAUUAGAUCCUUAACUACAGGCAAAAUACUAAGGGGAUCAGAUGAUUCUGUUUCCAUAAGAAAAAACAGUGUGGUUUGCUGAGAAGUUCCUGGUGGUACAACGAGAGCUUCAAAGCUCCUAUAGAUUCUCACAUAGAAUAUUCCAAAAAGCACUUCAGUUGAACGUCAAUACUGUCAUCUUGCAUGGUCAAUACCUGUACACCAAACUCAGCACUUAUAUCCCACUGCAGCUGCUCCCAUAAAUCUGAACUAUAAUUUUUUUUCAAUUGCAUUUUCUAAAUGCUGUCUUUUUAAAACUUUAGGUAUUUUUAAAACUUUUCUAAGAUGGGUUUUUAAAAAAAAAAUUUGCCACUUUCUCUGGGAAGUAUUUUUACUAUCUCCUAUCAACUCUGUCCUAAGAUAUUCUUACCAGAAUGUGAUAAAGCAUCACAGAGUGUACACCAAAAUAAAUUUCCCCAUAGAAUAAGCAUCUUAAACCAACUGAGUUGGCCUUUGUGAGUGGAAAUAUCCAUUGCCACAAAGAGAUCCCUAUGAUAUCAGAUACGAUAACAGAAAUGAGCUGACAGCUAGCUUUCCAGAGCAAUCUACACAUUUUACUUUUCCAUAUUGUUUAGUGAUGAUUUACUAGACAAUUUCUGAGGAACAGUUGCCAUGGAGCUCAUAAAUCAACAGAAUACUUGGUAGUCAGCAUCAAAGUGUGACCAUCUUUCAACUUAUCCGAUUUUUUUUCCCCUGUAGAUUCUGAGAAAUGAUGGUUGAAGAUUAACUCUUAAUGAAGUACAUUGGAUAGGAGCUGAUUAAGCCUAUUUACUUUUGUAAAACUUAAAAGUGGAUACAAGUACCUGCCAAUAUCACAUGAUAUGAAGACCUGGGGAUAGGAGUUCUGCCCAAGUCCCUGCUUUGUAGGGAGCAGGAUCCAAGUUGGUAUGUGAUUUCAUGGCAAACUUUUGUAUGUUUGAUGGUUUCAGGUGGUUCUUUCCUCCAACAGAUUUAUCUCCCUCACUGACAUAGGUAAACACAAAGAAAAAUUAUUUCAGAAAGGUCUAUGGGACUUACAUAAACCCUGAGUACCCUCAGUGUACUGUUAAACAUUAAAAGAACAUUAUUAAAAUGUGUCACAAGAACACAGUAGAAGAGAUCAAGGGUCUCUGCAACAGGAAGAAGUUUGUGAAGCUAAAUUCCUGAACCAUCUGUGGUAAUGUCCCAUGAAAUUAAGCAAGAAAAAGGGAAAUAAGACAGGCUUUAAAAUUCCACCCUAUGGAAAUAUUCUUUUGUUCUCACAAGUGCGUCAGUCUCUUUAAACCUGAGCAAGCUACAUUAAUCAAGGCUCUGAGAAAUUUUAGAAGCAGUAGGAGUACUCCUGUAAUACUCCCAACAACCUGUCUGCAGCCCCCAGUGCAUAAAAAGAAAAGACAGCUUCUCCUUGGUUCCUCAUCCUCUAUUUCCCCCAAACCAAAUUAUGCAUCCUGAGAAAAAUUUUCCAUGCAGCCUUUUCUUUCUCAUUUUCCUUACUUCACCCUCCUUUUCAAUACCCCUUCAUAAUAAUUCUUUUUGGAAAUACUCUCAGUAUUUUGAUUUAAUUUCCAGAUUCAAAAAUCCUCUCUGAGUAAAAACUCUCUUUAGCAUAAGGUUGGCAGACUUUCUCCCUUGCUGAUAAUAGGCAUUUGUGUUAGCUGCCAACAGUUACUUCAAUAAUAGUCACAGUAUCUUACUGACAAUUAAUGUAGGUUUCCCUGUUAGACUAGUAAUUAGGCCUUCAAAAUGUCAGAAUCUGGUCCAGAUUAUUAUCCAGAAUAUUCUGGAUACUAGUUGUGAAUAAAUAAAUAAUAAAAAAAAAAGUUAAUGUGAAUUUACAAUAUCUGACUGAAAUGCAAUCUGGAUUGCAGUGUCAUCCUACUCGCUGUUGGGGAGGGGGGGCAGGCUGGUUCACUCUUAUGAAUUCUGGGGGAUGGCCCCUUCCAGCUCACUUGGCCAAAUCUGUGCUGUUGCUCACCAGCUGAAUCGGGUACUUUUCAGAUGAGUAAAGAAAACAAAAUCUGUCAGUGUGCAAGACAGAGAAAGAUCUCUCUGAAACACAAUGUGCCACUGCAGUGGUUCAUGUUUAUUAGUGGUCUUAACUAAUACCGCAAUUAAAAUGUCUGGAAUGAACCUCAUACUCCAGCUGUAUAGUAGCGAUGGCAGAAAGACAAAACUAGGAGCAGCAGGGCUUCCAGUUGUGUCAAGCUAUGAAAGAGGACCUGAAACAGAUUCCUGCUUACUCAAAUGAGGAAAAUUGGGUAAGGGGCAUCUUCUAUCGCUCUUUGUCUUAAUAGUAUGCAUAUUUAUAAUAUAUGCCGUGAAAUCAAAAUAAGUGUUCCUUAUAAGUUUACCUUCCCUGGGAGGAUUUGGAGAGUUAAAUGUCUGCCAGUUGAGGUACACAGCCUUCCUGUCCCACAUGUCCACGUCACUUCUGUUUUCAAAAGAACUGAUUUGUCAAGAGACAGAUAUUUAACCAAGUUCUGCUGGCUAAGCUGUAUAACAUGGCUGCCCUUUUUGACCCACGCAGUUAGACAGAGGAUUUUGGUUCAAAGGAAAAUCUAAGAUUAGGUUGACAUCUCUACUAUGCAACCUGUGUAUUUCUGACUAAGGUUCCCUGGGCAAACCAAGAAAAUAACUUGGAUAUGAGGAAAUUCACAGCCCCCUUUUAUUUAGCCCUUUCUCCUAAAAAACUUACUAUUUAGUUUUCUUCUAAUUACUUCUUUUUCUUAGAGUCUUUUAUGUUAGUCCUGCCUUAUUUUUUCACACAAAUAUAGAGAAAUACGCCUAUUUCCCUACAAAAGAAGAAGAAACCCUGAGCCAUACCCCUUUAUCUGUAUGCGCCUUGCAAAUACGCCAGGGAAAGCUGUAUCCCUGGCACUUUGGUCUUGAGUAAAAGAUAGCAAAGGUUCUUAUUUUUUUUACAUUUUUUAUUAGUAGUGAAGGAUGUAUAAUAUUAAUGUCAGGGUGAUUUAAUCCAAGCUUAGUAACAAGUUUUGCUAUUGUCUUCCAAUUAGAAAUAAGAGGCAGAUUCUAUUUACAAGUUACGUCAAACAUAAUUUUUCAAUACACGUAUAAAGGAAAUCACAAAAACCAGCUACCAACUUUCUUUUCUAUUUAAAGGGAAAAGGAUGGUUAUGGGUUUUUUAAUUUCAGAUAAAAUAUCUUUGUUUUUAGUAGACUUUACAUAUUUAACUUUUAAAUAAAAAAUAUGUUCUAGCCAUGGAAAAAUCAUCAAUUUGGCAGCAAACUUGUUCUAGAAAAUGGAAGAAUCUUUAUUCUGAAGCAGCAGUAAUACUGUUUUUGUUUUGUGUUGAUUUUUUUUGAACUGGGGAAUCUGGUUAUUUAAAAAUAAUAUUGUAUUUCUGUCUGCCAUAUUUUGCAGGCAAAACCCAUCAGACUUGUAAAGUGCUAUAAUCACUGGAAAUAAGAAACUGGGGUUCAUAAGCUUGGCUUCUUCCCAUAUAAUUAUUUCAGGUGAAUUGGUGACAGCUGAAAUCAAAUUCUGGGGAUGAGCAGAUGUGUCAUCGAAUGACUAAGUUCCUCCUCCCUCUCCUCUGUGUAUGCAGAUUUAAGGGGAAAAAUGAUAUUUUAGGGGUUUGAUAGUACAGCUUUUAAAACAAACUGUCUUUUUCAUCUUUACUAGCGUGUUUGAGAAGAAGAGGACUUUUGACUGAGAAAACAGUGCAAAAUCCACAACCCAUUUUGAAGGACGGCUUCUUCCCCUUGGUUUCUAAUACCAUCUCUGUUGCAUUUUAUUUACGGAUAUGUUUAUUUGUUGGCUUAUGUACUUGGUGUAGUGAGAAAGGAGUCCUGGUCAUCUCAGUAGGUUAGAGGGCUGAGUGCUCUCACUAGGAAAAAAAAAUUAAAAAAAUAUUGCUUAUUUGUUUGAUGUAAAUUUUUUAAUUUUUUCAGUUUUAAUUUUUUCAGAUUUUUCUCCAAGAUCCCUACAGCUAGCAGAGAAGAAUAGAGAAAUUCCAGCUGUGGCAGAGCUGAGAAUGUGCAAUUUGUGUUUGAUAUCUCCUCAUUUUAGGUAGAAUGGGUUAUUAAUUUCUUAGCUCAGUGAAAAAGGUGGGCACAAGGGCCAGGGGUUGGAAAUCAUGACUCAGGACAUGAAAGGAAUUUGGGGUGGAGAGGGGGGGAAUUAGAGUAGCCUGGAAAGGGACAAUAAAUAUUUCCUUCCUGAAAAACAGGAUUUUUUUUUCCGUGUAGAAAAUCAAAGGGAAUAAAAGAGGACAAAGGAGGGCUUGAGGAUGGAACCUGUGACCCAAGCAUCAUUAGCAACAGAGUAGCUGCUCUGAACUAAAUCUGCAUUUCUCUUAUCCUAUUAACUGGGAAGGCCAGGUUAUAUUUACUGCUUGCUCCAAUUAAAGAGCCACACAGAGCAGCACCACCUCCAGAAGAGGCUGCGGAUAAAGCCUUUGGGGCAGACUCCCUGUGGUUACUGCUGUCCUCCCCUGUUCCUCCCUGCCCAAGUAUGACCCAGGGAGCCCUCUUGUCCCCCUCUGCCCUGGGCUUGUCAGAAGGAAGGGUAAUGCAUAUCCCAGCUCUGCUUGUAUUUAAUCUUUCCUCAGUGGCUCUGUAAGCAUGUGGAUAGGAAAGGUGAAAAAAAGCCUCACCUCUCUGAAUUGUAAACUGCAAAAUGGGAGGCCAGGGGAGAGGGUCUGAGGAUUAUCUUUAAGUGUGUUCUAUUGCACCCUGUUAUCUAGGAUCUUCAGGAAGUAGCAGAUUUUUUUUGAGAGGGCUUGACACACACAAAUAUCUCCAGUGAAGGAAAGGAACAAGUCCUUUUUCUGCUUCCUGCCUGCUAGCCAUGAAAAAGCUGCAAUGAGAGUGAAGAUCCUUGAAACAGAUCAUACCCUCCCAACAUGGAAGAACCUUUCUCACCAUUUCAAAAUACAAGGGAACAACAUGCUAGAGCAUUCAGUUGGAUUUUCCAUUGGUAAAAAGCAUCAUUUUCUUUGAGAACUGGACUGACUCUCCUGGAUCCUCUAGAGGGGCUAAGAGCAUCUUGUCACAUCUUCAAUGCACUGCUGGAGCUGGCAGCCUUCCUCAUGCACCAUGUUUCUUUUAUUCCAUUAAACCUUUUAUUUUAUGUCUCUGAUAAAUUAAUGAACAUUAAGAUUGCUCAGUAAAGGUGUGUUGUUACAGCUCAGUGAGGGUAGCCCAGGGCGGGAUAAUAGCUCAGUUCUUGCUCCUGGUGACUAAAGGGACCACGCAAUUGUGUAGAGAAGGCACAGAGGGAUCAAGUCAGUUUCUCACCCUGCAAGCCAGUGUGAGAUUUAACAGCCUAAUGCAGUACCUACAUUGCUGCUCAGCGUCUGCUCUGCUGAGGAUGGCAAAGUUUGUGCUGGUGAGGAAAGCAGAAGCAGGAUUAGGCCAGAUGCCAAAGGCUUGUGGACCAAGAUUAGCAUGCGCAGUCGUCUUCUGCAGGGUCUUUAAAAGCCAAAAUGGCCAUCAUGUUUAUCUCUUCUCCAGUCCACCUGGAAGAUAUUAGAAACUGCACGUUUAAGUAAAGUUCAGCAGAAAUUCCAACUCACAUUUGCAGAUGUCAUUUCUUAUGAAUAGGUUGCGAGGCGGUGGAUGCCUCUAACAGAAGAUGGCUGCUGUGUCAGACCUGGAUGAGCAAACCCACCCUGAUUACACCAGUCUUAUUACGUGAGAAUUUGUAGCAUAUUUCCCUUGAAACAAGAAACAUGGCACGUAAGCCAGCCAGAGACCAGCACACAUUUCUCUCCCAGAACUACUGAGUGUUAUUGUCUUGGAAGGCAGCACUGCCAUCUGGGGAUGGAAAAAUAAUAUUUCAGUCACAGUUCAGCUACCGUCUCGGGAGGGAGGUGGUGGUGGAAACAUGGAAAAAUAAGUAGAAACCUGCAGUAGCUCACAAUGAUUUUCUUACAGUAUACAUGAAUCAACAAUGCACUCUUGGAUUAUUGCUCUGAAAUUGGGUUACAUUAUUUUACUUUAAUACAAACGUUCUACUCUUCUAGAAGUAUAAGUGGGGUCUUGCCUUUUUAAUGUUUAUAUCAUUUAACAACCGGUUACACAGUGCAAAUACUCUUCAGUGAAUUCCCUGCAACUCCUUGAAUUACAAUAUUAUUCCCUUUUUGCUCACUUACACCAGUAAACAAGGGAAGAGGGGAUUUGCUGAGCCCAGCUAAUAAACUGUUCCUGAGGCCAGUCUGCAGUGUUUGAAAUUUGCAACAAAUAAUAAUGCAGACAUUAUCAUACCCAUAUCUUUUGACAUCCUACUGAGCCUACUGUUAUAUCCUUUACACACAGAAUUUAUUCUGAAAGCAGUGUCUUAUUUCUGGGAAAACUGCUGUCCUUCCUUCCAUCUCAUCUAUGUCUGCCAGGAUUUCCUUCUGUUUCACUAGCAGAGAAAUUGCUGCACGUACUUACAUAGCUAAUUAUUUCUCUGAUCUUGCCUAAAAUCCAUGUAGAAUAUAGAGCUGGCAGUCUUAAAGAAAACCCACAACCUCAAAAACACACCUCCAAGAAUUAUGAUAAGGUGGUGUGUAGCCAGCUGUUUCUGAUGUCCUGACUUGCUUGUAUGUUUUCUGUAUAUGCAUGUUCAUGUCGAAUGUGAUGACACAAGGAGCACAAGCUGACUUGAGACCACAUGAGGGCCAGAAGGGUGAUUGAUUUCUGCUCCGUCUGUGCCCUCUAACCUUGUGCUCCCAUCCUAUUGUGUUGGCUCAGCCAAGCAAAUUGACCUUGAUGAAAACUUUGUGUUUGUUUUUUAUUUUUAAUUUUCCCAGAUGAAGGUUACUCUUCAGCCAGAUCUGAUCCCUGAUAACAUUGACAGAUGGGAAAGCUGAGAUCCUGAAGUUAAAAUUACUAUUUUGAGAGGUGGUACAAGAUAUGUAUCUGCUUACACUGAGCAUUGAACCACAUCCUCCCAUAUGCAGCUUACAAAUCUAAUAACUGAGUCAUAUCUGAGGUAGCCUGUUUAAGUCCAGCAGAAUUUUGAUAGUUCAUUAGUUUUAUCAAAAUUAAUUUUUUGCUGUAAAACAUGCAGAAGGAACCUUAGUUAUAAGUCCAAAAUAACAUAGAAAUGAAAAAGACCCAAGACUGAGUACAGAGAUUUUUAUGUAGAUUCUUAUCAUAUAAAUAGAUUAUAUAAGCACACCUAAAUGGAUUACCCCAAACAAUAUUAUUUGAACUGACUCUCUACUUCUUUUUUAUUUGCCAUUUAACUGCAAAUAGCUGUCCUCUACAUGAAGCCACUUCCUUUUUAUAUCAGUUACUAUUUUAGUGAGCCCAUUUUUCUUACCUCUGCUGAAAGGAUUCUCAUGCAGUAGAUAGAGAACAUUGUGAAUUCUGUCUUACAAAUCUUUAUUUUUACCCAAUUUUUAUUAAGCGAUGCUUCACAAUAAAUGCUGAAGGCUCUCAUGCAGAUGUUCAUGAAAUACAACUGCCAUCAGACAGGCUUUACUUACCCACAGGAUAGAAAUAAUUUAGCGCAGCAUUUAUGCUCUCGAUCUAUUUAGCAGUUUGCUUAAGAACCAAGAGAUCAGAGGGUGGCUUUUGAGCCAUGUGCAAUUCAAGUGUGAUUCCCCAGCACAGUUGGGUCCAGCUGUUCCAUCUGUGGGAGCCUCCAAGCUGUCAUUGCCAGGAGUGAUGAAGAAGGGACAGUUAAGGUCUUCCCUCACAGCUGAAAUGCAGCCUGCAAGAUGACUAGGAGCAACGUCCUGCCCUCUUUUCUCAUCUCUUCUAUAAAUAUGGAAGAGAUUUUGUUGUUUGGGAUCAUGGGAAGAUUUUGGACUAUGACAUUAAGUCUGGCCACGCUCUGUGCAUAGCAUUUUGAAGCAAAUUAUUGCACGUUUGUAAUAACACAGAUAACUGCUGCUACUGAAGGUUUCCAGAGGUUUAUGUACUUUCAACGCGCUUGCAACAAACGUGGGUAGAGCCCUUCCCAAAUCUUCGUUCGUGAAGCCCAGCCAUGAAAUGAUGUACUUUUAUGAGUACCAAAUUUUGUUCUAAUGUAAGAUAUGAAAAAUGUUGCUUUUAUACUGACAACAAAAAAUAUCAUUCUGGUCUUCUGGUUAACUAUUUCUGGAAUAAAAAUUAAAUGUACUUGAUAAGGUC